GAUGCCUUUUGGUUUGUUUGUAUCUAAUACAAUGAAAUUCAUAAUUUUUAAGUGUCCAGAUGAAAUUGUAUAGUUCAGGGCUGAAAGGCUAUAAACUCUGCAGAAAGUGAGUUGACAGUGUUUGUCUGUGCAGUGUGUGUUUGCCAGGGUUUAAAUGCAGGCAGUGUGACUUCUCAAGCCCUUUCAUGUGAUGCCUCCUGCUUUAACAAAUCCAUCUGAUAUAGCAUAAUGGGCUUUAACUAACACAUGAACACACAUUUAAACACGAUUAACUGAAAAGUCUUUAAGAAGUAAGAAACACUAUUCACAAUAAUGAUGCACAGACGUCAGACAUCAAAGGUUGCAAACUUUUGUGAAUCAGUAGCCUUAUAAAUCAUAACAGUUAGCAAAAGAGAGAGGAGUAAUCCUUCCAUCUGAUCCAAUAUAGUGUAACGAGAUAUAUACAGUUUGAAUGUAACACAUUUUUCCCACUAAAAUCAUUUUUAUUGUAUUAUGGGUUUAUUUGUUAUUGCAUUCUUUGAGCAAUAUUUGUCUGCUGAUGCUGCUGUUCACUGUUUGGCGCUCUACUGACUCCAUUUUCACGUGAGUGCGCGCUUCUCUUCACACCGCUUCAUGACAGCGACGGAACUGCUCCUUCUCCUUCUCAGCCUUCGAUCUGUCACAAAAUACAGGCCAUAUAAAAGAACCGAUGAUCAGGUUCAAAUAAACCGUUUCAGGGCUUCGAUACAUUUCAAAGUGUUCAAGCACAAAAAGCACAUGGAUACAUUUGUGGGAGAUAAACUCGUCGAGUGUAGUCUUAUCGAGACGUUUAACGGUUGGAACAAACCUGGAAUUCC